UACGGGGGGGGCAAGCGUUGUUCGGAAUUACUGGGCGUAAAGGGUUCGUAGGUGGCCAACUAAGUCAUACGUGAAAUCCCUCAGCUUAACUGGGGAACUGCGUCUGAUACUGGUUGGCUUGAGGUUGGGAGAGGGAUGCGGAAUUCCAGGUGUAGCGGUGAAAUGCGUAGAUAUCUGGAGGAACACCGGUGGCGAAGGCGGCGAUCCUGGACCGAUACUGACGCUGAGGAGCGAAAGCCAGGGGAGCAAAGCGGG
rnacentral:rRNA from 1 species